UUUUCUUCCUGCCUCUUUCUCUUUUAACCCUUUGCACUCCUAUGUCGAGUGUGACUCGACAUCAGUUCUUAUCUCAGGAGCUCCUUUGUCGAGUCCCACUCGACAUUCUUUCAUUCCGAUACGUUUUUCUUGAAA